rnacentral:rRNA from 1 species
GACAGAGGGUGCAAACGUUGUUCGGAUUUACUGGGCGUAAAGCGUGUGUAGGCGGCUUGGCAAGUUGGAUGUGAAAGCCCACGGCUCAACCGUGGAAGCGCAUCCAAAACUGCUUCGCUCGAGUCUCGGAGAGGAAGGUGGAAUGCUUGGUGUAGAGGUGAAAUUCGUAGAUAUCAAGCAGAACACCUGCGGCGAAGGCGGCCUUCUGGACGAUGACUGACGCUGGGACACGAAAGCGUGGGGAGCAAACAGG